UAUAUAUAGCUGUAAUUAAACAAGAUUGGAUUAUAGUUUAUUUUUGACUGGGACUCUUUGAUGUUGUUCAUACGGCGGCAUUUUGGCAGCAAAACUUUUUUGUACCUGUUCGCUAAAGGCAAACUUUAAUAAGAUACCUGAGAAUACACUUUACACUGCAACAAAUAAAUAUAUUUAUAUAUACAAUCACCAGAGCAAACAAUAAAUAAAAACA